GCGGUACCGGUUCCCGCCUGCGAGGCGACCCGGCGACU
rnacentral:ncRNA from 1 species